UACAGAGGGUGCUAACGUUGUUCGGAAUUACUGGGCAUAAAGCGCACGUAGGCGGCGCGUUGAGUGCGGGGUGAAAUCCCACGGCUUACCCGUGGAACAGCUUUGCAUACUGGCGUGCUGGAGUGCGGUAGAGGAGAGCGGAACUCUUGGUGGAGCGGUGAAAUGCGUAGAUAUCAAGAGGAACACCAAAGGCGAAGGCAGCUCUCUGGGCCGUAACUGACGCUGAGGUGCGAAAGCCAGGGGAUCAAAC
rnacentral:rRNA from 1 species